rnacentral:piRNA from 1 species
UAGGAAGGAACACAUUGA